rnacentral:lncRNA from 1 species
AGGUGAUGGAGGUGCUCGCCAUGAGGUCCGUGGCGGUCGUCUGGAGGUGCUCGUCUGGAGGUCCGUGGCGGUCGUCUGGAGGUGCUCACCUGGAGGUCCAUGGCGGUCGUCUGGAGGUGCUCGUCUGGAGGUCCGUGGCGGUCGUCUGGAGGUGCUCGCCGUGGCGGUCGUCUGGAGGUGCUCGUCUGGAGGUCCGUGGCGGUCGUCUGGAGGUGCUCGCCGUGAGGGCCGUGGCGGUCGUCUGGAGGCGCUCGCUGCAGGUGGAGGGAAGGCCGAGAGCCGUGCAGCCCAAGGGAUGCAGAACGAAGGACUGAGGCGGAGGCCAGCCUGGAGGCGGAGGCCAGCCUGGAAGUCCUGGAUGCGUCCAACCUGGAAGGGGCAGCAUGGAGGGGCCAGGUGGCGGCUCCUCAUCCAAAGGGCCCAGAGGCGGCCAACCUGGAAGGCCUGGAGACGGCGGAGGUCCUGGAGGCGGAGGCCAACCUGGAGGUCCUGGAGGCGGUGGGCCUGGAGGCGGCGGCGGCAGCGGCCAUCCUGGAGGCGGACUACCUGGAGGUCCUGGAGGCGGAUUGUGGAGACCAUCCUGGAGGGCCUGGAGGUGGCGUCCACAUGGUGGCGGCCGGCCUGGAGGCGGUGGCCAACCUGGAGGUCCUGGAGGCGGUGGGCCUGGAGGCGGCGGCGGCAGCGGCCAUCCUGGAGGCGGACUACCUGGAGGUCCUGGAGGCGGAUUGUGGAGACCAUCCUGGAGGUCCUGGAGGUGGCGUCCACAUGGUGGUGGCCGGCCUGGAGGCGGUGGCCAACCUGGAAGUCCUGGAGGCGGUGGGCCUGGAGGCGGCGGCAGCGGCCAUCCUGGAGGCGGACUACCUGGAGGUCCUGGAGGCGGAUUGUGGAGACCAUCCUGGAGGGCCCGGCGGCGGCGUCCUGGAGGGCCCGGAGGCGGAGGCUCCUCAUCCAGUAAAGCUAAACUCUUCUCCAGUGCAUCAUGAACGGGGAGGAAUGUCCGGGGUGCAAAUAGAACGCGUGUCUCAUUUCAGAAGAAAUGAGGCGACGUUGCGGAGGUCCAGGCGGUUGGCCCGGUGGAGGUCCUGGAGGAGACGGCCUGGAGGUGGAGGACGGCUGGGGGAUCCGGCGGUGGAGGUCCGAAGGCAGCUCGUGUUUAGACCAACCAGCUCCUCAUCCAUGGAAGGAUUGAAGGAGUCACUGGGGAUGAAGAUCACUGCUCAGGGGCUGACGACCCCCCCCCCCCCCCUCCUCAUCUUUCUGGAGAAGCGUCCUCAUGGUGCAGGCGGUCAAACCUCCACCUCUUUGAAGAGACCAAGCAGCUUGAUGACUGACUGGUUCCUUAUACUCAGGACCUCGAGCAGAGGAUAGACCUAAGGCCUACAGCGCAGCAGACUAGAGACUCCAUGUGGAACCGGUUCAAUUAAGUUGACCUCUCCUUCAGGCGACUUAAAGGGAGACCAGAUGUGCGGCAGCUGGGUGUCAUGGUGCAGAGACCCAACGCUGGUAAAUAUUUACUUCCUCCUUGAACAGACCUAACACGUCAAACGGCAAUUAUAUAAUCCCUCCUGAUCUUUAUAAAGGUCUGAAGACCAGUCUUUUCUGUGAACAUCUCCACUGAUGAGUGUGCUCUUAAUUAAAUUAAAGUUAAUUAAAUGCAGUAACUCCAAUGCACCUGGAGGCUCGUAUUGACAUUUUUUGAAACCUGGUUCUCCAGCACUAGGACUGUUGCGGUAAAUAAAUGUUUUUUUGCUAAUUUAAGUCUAUGAAAUCAAAUGCUGAUUGAGACCAGAUGGGGCUGUUCCUGCAUUUAUAGACAUUUCAUUGCCCUUGAAACUGAUUCUACUUUUUGCAUCAAUUUACUUCACAGUACUGAACUACACCAGUGUGUCCUACUCCCCAUAAACCCUGAGGAUCCCUGGCUACACCAGCACAUUAAUCCACACCCAACAUUAACACACAGUGCACACUCUAUAGAGCUUGUAAGUCCGCCCCUUGCGGCGGGACCUCGUGAGAUCGUAAAAUAUGACUGGGUUUCAAUGGAGAGAAAGUAAAUAUUUUCUCCAUUAUGUUGCACCACAUUUUGGGGGAAGAAUGUUUGAAUCAAUCUUUGUCAUUUAUUUCUGUACUCCAUAUCUGUAAUCCCAGCUGUUGUAUUUUAACACGGUAGCUGGGAACCCUCUUUAUAGGGAGCGACUAGAGGGACGAGGCUGGAAGCAAACCUGAGCCUGGAUCUUAACCUUCUUUCUAAACCUAAUGCCGCAAUUUAACCUCAAAUAAAGUGAGGCCUAAAGUAACUUGACUCUCUUGCCUAAACUCGCUUGCAUAAAACCUGAACUUGCUUGGCUAAACUCGCUUGCCUAAUACCUGAACUUGCUUGCCUAAACUCGCUUGCCUAAUACCUGAACUCGCUUGCCCAAUACCUGAACUUGCUUGCGUAAACUCGCUUGCCUAAUACCUAAACUCGCUUGCCUAAACUCGCUUGCCUAAACUCGCUUGCCUAAACUCGCUUGCCUAAACUCGCUUGCCUAAUACCUGAACUUGCUUGCCUAAACUCGCUUGCCUAAUACCUAAACUCGCUUGCCUAAACUCGCUUGCCUAAUACCUGAACUUGCUUGCCUAAACUCGCUUGCCUAAUACCUGAACUCGCUUGCCUAAUACCUGAACUUGCUUGCGUAAACUCGCUUGCCUAAUACCUAUUACUCGCUUGCCUAAUACCUGAACUCGCUUGCCUAAACUCGCUUGCCUAAUACCUGAACUUGCUUGCAUAAAACCUAACGUGCUUAGCUUGACUCGCUUGCCUGUACUCGCUUGGCUAAACUCGCUUGCCUAAUACCUGUAGUCCCUUGCCUAAAACCUAAACUUGCUUGUCCAAACACGUUACACAAAGUUAACCAUCCAUAAUCUUUAACCCAAACCAGACUUGUCCCUGGGUCGCUCCACUUUAAUUAAGAAGUUUCUUCUUUUACCUCAUCUGCGUUUUGAGUUUCAUUCUUUGAGGGCUUGAAGUGCUUUGGAGGAUAUUUGAACCUUUGUUCGCCAAAUGUUCAGUGUCCUUGAAUGUAAUGUCUAUGGUCUGACGAUAAUCUGACCUCUUCAUGAAGCAGAAUGUGUGUGAAUGUUGUCCCGUGAGCUCCAGGCUCUCUGUGGGCCUGUCAACGUCUCUUUAGCAAAAGGUUGGAGAGUGAAAUUCAUUUUUGUGCCAUUUUCAUGUGUUCCUGAGUAUUUCAGACCUGUGGUGUUUCACAUGAGACCUUAAUGGGAACAUUUCUUUUUCUGCCUGCAUACGUAAUGCCUACAUUAGUAGGGUGAUCACUGUUGAUCCCAAUAUUGUUCAUUAACCACCUCAUUCUUGUAUGAUUUUUUUCGAUAAGGAUUACAAAUCAUGUAAUUUGAGCAUAUUUGCAAAUGGCUCCAAAUAUCAGAUUGUGUAAACGAAUGAAAUGUAACCUGCUUGAUUUAAAGAAAAUAAAACAUCCAAAUAUUAUAAACCUGUUUUGUGUUGCUCUCUUACAUGUGGAAAUAAAACGCAGAUAGAUAUGUUUAGCUCUGAUUUGCUGCCUCCUUUUGGUGUGGUGCUGGGAUUUGUUUAAUAUACUAUUAUCAUUGCCAGGAUAAGUUAAUAACCUAGUAUAGCCUACCCGGAAAAGAAGGGAUAUGAUGGCCAGGGCAGGCUGUUUCGGUGUCCUGUUAACAUAUUGUGAGCGGAUUUGUGAACAUUCUCGGUGAAGGAAAUUCAAUUGCAAACGUUAAUCAACAUGCAGGACCAUUCAGCGAACACUUCACAUAUUUCUC